CUCUCCCUCCGCCGCCGCCGCUUCUUUUCUUUGCCUCCUCCUUCCUCCUCCUCCGCGUCCUCCUCCUCCUCCUCCUCGCUCGCUCUGUCUGGCCGCCCCCCCCGCCGUGCUCUCGCCCUCAUGCCCCGACGGGCCCCCCCCACAACAAUGAGACUCGCACGCCGGGCUCGCCCCCUCCGCGCCGCUCGCCCGGCUCCUAGGGCCGCCCCGCCGCCGCGUAGCCCGAGCCCGGCGGGGGAGGCGCCGAGUGGCACAUCGCGGGCGCCCGCCCGCCCCGCGCCGCCCCGCGCCACCCGCUCACGCGCCGCCCCCCCGGCCCCCCUGCCCGGCCGCGGCAGCCAUGGCCGCGCGCCUCCGCUCGCUCGCUCCCGGCCCGCCCGCCGCCAGCCGCCGGGUAAAGUCUUAGGUUCAGGGAACAAAGCCUGGCUUGGUAGGGAGCUUUUCGCUCUUUCGCUCCGUGCUGCUUUGCCUGCUUUCUUUUUCGUUUCACGGCUCUGGGUCGUCGCUCCCGAGCCCUCCCUCUGCCCGCACUCCCGUCUCGGGCCCCGGGUCCCCGAGUCUCCAGCCCCCUCCGCCAAGUCUUCGUCUCUGGGUGGAUUCUUCAGCCCCAGGGAAACUUUGGAGUGGAGACCGGGGGAAGGGGCGCUAGGAGGAAUGGGAGCGACGCGGGCCGUUCGCCCCCGCCCCACCCCGUGUCUGGGGGUCUUUUUGGAUGGCCGCCCUCGGGCCCUUUCCUCCGAGGCCACUCUGGAGGGUAGACGCUCUCACACGCAGACAUUUAUUCAUUCAACAGAUAUUUAUUAAACGCUCGUUGCCAGUCGCUGGGAUCGAGUAGAGAGCAAAACAUAUUCCUGCCCUCGGGGAGCUUCCUGUCGGGUUCACAGACACACACGCACGCACAGGGACUCAGAGCCCCAGAGACACACACCGAGGCACCCACAGACACGAGCUAACUCCCAGCUUCAGUCACACCACUGACCCUCCCAGAGACACGAACCUCCGCUCCAGCCCCGCGGGUGCGCUUAGAGACCCACGAGAGUUAGAGACCCGCAACCACGAGGUGCUCACGAACACCAGUUACACUUGACCUCUAGGCACGCACACAGACACACAAGGUAACUCACACGCAGCACUCCAGAGGACUAAAGUCCCUGCAAUUGGGUCUGGGGGAGAAGUGAGGGGCGUCGGCCCAAAGUCUUCUUCCCAACCUGUGUGGGCAAGGGGGGGUGAGAUCUGACCCCCAAAAACUUCCUAAAGGGGGACGACUCGUGGGGACUAAAGGUCACCCGCCCCCCACAGCGGGAGUUCGGGUGGCGUAGGGGAGAAGGCAGCCCUGGGGGCUUCAACGACACUUCAAAGACCUCGCGGCCGGGAACGCUUCCUGCGGGGGAGGGGCAAACAGAGAGGAGAAGGGAAGACGGGCCGGGGGACUGGGGGUGGAGGAGGCCGCCUCCCCUUCGGCGCACUGCCCCCUGGCAGACUCUUCCGCCGGGUCCGCCUCCUUUUCACCAGCACCUGUUCAACCGGAACAUCAAGGGCCUGGGGCCCGCCGCGGCCCCCCGUCGGCUCUUUAGUACCUUUCAUCCGGAAGGGAGAUGAAUCCCCGCCCAGGAGGGGGGAGUAGGGCGGGGGAGAACUUGUCCUUGACCUGGUCUUUGGCGUCAGGGAUUUACUCCCUUAAUCCCGGAGAGGCGGGAGUUUGGGGAGGUCCAGGAAGCUGAGUUCUGGGCUGCAGCCCCACACCUCUCCUCGCUCCGGUGGACACAGGGAAUCUCGGAGGGCUGCCGGGACGAAGAGGCUACAUCUACACAGGGCGGUGUAGGGGAAGCCCGUCUCUUCGACCUCCGUGCCUGGGAGUAGGGGCCGAGAGCCAGAUUAUUGCGAUGACCGGAAUCCCGGCGAGGACGGCCGCGCUCCGGUUCCUUGGUCAAAUUUGUGAAUUUCGCUAACACGAAAAGUUAAACAAGACACAGAGGAGAAACUGCACUUAAGGGUUUCUAACGAAUUACCUUUACUAGCAAGAAUAAAACUGCAAGAAAAUUAAACGUAAAAAUGUCAGUCCUAAAUCAUGCACGAGUUUCAGAAUAUUUGAAUAUUUCCUUUUGGGGCCCACCGCUGCCAAGGUGGCCGCAGUUUCGGGUUUCGCCGGACAGGGCUCACUAAAACGUGCCUACGCCCCAGGGAUGGACGACUUGGAGACAGGGGCCGGGAAGCCUUUGUCUCAGGUCACCCUGCGCCAGGGUCAUCCUCCUCUAAGAUUCCAGGACCAUGAUCAUCCCUCUAUUGCUACUUCUUAGAUCAGCUUGUAAUGUCCAUCUCCCCCACCAGACUGCGUCUCCAGCAUCUCUGAGUCCCCAGGGCCUGGCCUGGGGCUUGCUACAUGGUGGGUGCUCAGUAACUGUGAGAUGGAGUCUUGUUCUGUCACCCAGGCUGGAGUGCAG
rnacentral:lncRNA from 1 species